AUUGAACGCUGGCGGCAUGCCUUACACAUGCAAGUCGAACGGUAACGGGCCUUCGGGUGCCGACGAGUGGCGAGCGGGUGAGUAAUACAUCGGAACGUGCCCGAUCGUGGGGGAUAACGAGGCGAAAGCUUUGCUAAUACCGCAUACGAUCUACGGAUGAAAGCAGGGGACCGCAAGGCCUUGCGCGGACGGGGCGGCCGAUGGCAGAUUAGGUAGUUGGUGGGAUAAAAGCUUACCAAGCCGACGAUCUGUAGCUGGUCUGAGAGGAUGAUCAGCCACACUGGGACUGAGACACGGCCCAGACUCCUACGGGAGGCAGCAGUGGGGAAUUUUGGACAAUGGGCGCAAGCCUGAUCCAGCCAUGCCGCGUGCAGGAUGAAGGCCUUCGGGUUGUAAACUGCUUUUGUACGGAACGAAAAGCCUUCUUUUAAUACAGGAGGGUCAUGACGGUACCGUAAGAAUAAGCACCGGCUAACUACGUG
rnacentral:rRNA from 1 species